GAUGAACGCUAGCGGCAGGCUUAACACAUGCAAGUCGAGGGGCAGCAUAAUGGAUAGCAAUAUCUAUGGUGGCUACCGGCGCACGGGUGCGUAACGCGUAUGCAACCUACCUUUAACAGGGGGAUAACACUGAGAAAUUGGUACUAAUACCCCAUAAUAUCAUAGAAGGCAUCUUUUAUGGUUGAAAAUUCCGAUGGUUAGAGAUGGGCAUGCGUUGUAUUAGCUAGUUGGUGGGGUAACGGCUCACCAAGGCGACGAUACAUAGGGGGACUGAGAGGUUAACCCCCCACACUGGUACUGAGACACGGACCAGACUCCUACGGGAGGCAGCAGUGAGGAAUAUUGGUCAAUGGACGCAAGUCUGAACCAGCCAUGCCGCGUGCAGGAUGACGGCUCUAUGAGUUGUAAACUGCUUUUGUACGAGGGUAAACGCAGAUACGUGUAUCUGUCUGAAAGUAUCGUACGAAUAAGGAUCGGCUAACUCCGUG
rnacentral:rRNA from 1 species